rnacentral:rRNA from 1 species
UACGGAGGGUGCAAGCGUUGUCCGGAAUCACUGGGCGUAAAGGGCGCGUAGGUGGCAGGGUAAGCGUGCGGUGAAAGCCCGGAGCUCAACUCCGGGUCGGCCGUGCGAACUGCUUGCUCGAGCACUGUAGAGGCAGGUGGAAUUCCGGGGUGUAGCGGUGGAAUGCGUAGAGAUCCGGAAGAACACCGGUGGCGAAGGCGGCCUGCUGGGCAGUAGCUGACGCUGAUGCGCGACAGCGUGGGGAGCAAACAGG